GUGUUUUAAAGCAGCCUGGAAAAGAACAGGAGGAUUGCUCACAUUGCUGAAGGUCUCCAGGACAGGACACACUGUCUCUCUCCUGUGCUAGUGUAGGGAUGUGCCACGAACCCUGCAGCACUCAGAUGCUUUCUGGGCACUCAGCCUGUGGUGGAUGAACAAGAGAGGAGUCCCUGCCAGUGGGGUGGAUAAUAGAAAUGUUCUGGACAGUCAGAGUGCUGCUGGAGAUGACAUAUGAGAAGGUCAUAAAGCUCAAGUGGAGAAAUGCUUUCUCAGGAUCCUGAUUCUCAUCUCGGUAAACUGACAUUUCUUCAUGGCAAUGAAUUCCUUCAUUGCUGUCUUCCAUGUUCUGAAUCUGCCAGCAGCAGUGAUGGAGGGAUGCUGGAUGAAGUGAUUCCACUGGAGAAGGGCUCUGUGCUUUGCACAAGCUCAGGGCAAUUCCUGCAGCCUUGUUUACAUCUGGCUUUGUUUCUGGCUCCUUGUUCUUGUCUCGCUCAUGGCUCCCUCCAUCAAACCAUCUCCUUCCGUCAGACGUCGCACCUGCUCUCCUUGCUCUUCAUCAGCAUUAAUGAAACGCCCACCACUACUCCAUUCCUUUGGGCUUUAUUCUUCUUGUCCAUGUAG
rnacentral:lncRNA from 1 species